UACGAAGGGGGCUAGCGUUGUUCGGAAUCACUGGGCGUAAAGGGCGCGUAGGCGGCCCUCCUAGUCGCGUGUGAAAGCCCCCGGCUCAACUGGGGAGGGUCACGCGAUACUGAUCGACUCGAAGGCAGGAGAGGGUAGUGGAAUUCCCGGUGUAGUGGUGAAAUGCGUAGAUAUCGGGAGGAACACCAGUGGCGAAGGCGACUACCUGGCCUGUUCUUGACGCUGAGGCGCGAAAGCUAGGGGAGCAAACGGG
rnacentral:rRNA from 1 species